rfam:Flavobacterium hercynium strain DSM 18292 43415_contig_35, whole genome shotgun sequence.
UAAUAGCCCUGAUGGAAGCGGCAUCCUUUUGUGGCGGGGUUCGACACAAAAGAUAUAGCGGACAGCAGGUUUUAGC